UUGGUCAACCCUUGGUCAAUGGAUGGUCAACCCUUGGUCAACCAUUCAUCAACCCUUGGUCAACGGUUGGUCAGCCACUGGUCAACCCUUGGUCAAUGGUUGGUCAACCAUUCAUCAACCUUGGUCAACCCUUGGUCAAUGGUUGGUCAACCAUUCAUCAACCCCUGGUCAACCAUUCAUCAACCCUUGGUCAACCCUUGGUCAACGGUUGGUCAGCCAUUCAUCAACCCUUGGUCAACCAUUCAUUAAUCCUUGGUCAACCCUUCGUCAAUCGUUGGUCAACCGUUCAUCAACAAUUGGUCAACCCUUGGUCAAUGGUUGGUCAACCAUUCAUCAACCCUUGGUUAACCCUUGGUUAACCCUUGGCCAACCAUUCAUCAACCUUGGUUAACC
rnacentral:lncRNA from 1 species